UAAAUACUGCUUUAGGUCUCAACAUCUCUUAAACACAGUCGCUCUUCUUAUCACUCUCGUCACCGAAAAAAAAAAAAAAAAAUUUAAGGAGAGAUUCCUUUUCGUUCUCUUCUCUAAUGGCAUAAGAUUAGUUUUUUUUUUAUUUCUCCUUUCUCUCUCUAAUUGCUCUCUCGUAUUGAUGCUGAUUUUUUGAAGAACGAAGAAGAUUCAAAGCAGAGCAGAGCUAGGGUUUAUGAUUGAUGACCCAAAAUUAGGGGGUUCUCUUUGUCUUCUAAUUGAUGAAUGAAUUAGCAAGCAGGAUAUGGUUUCCAUGGCGUUUCUUCUUCUUCAACUUUCUCUCAUCUGAUUUGAUCGACCAACUAAAGGAAGAUAUUGGUGCCAAGUGAUGGUCGGAGGAGCCGGAUGAUGGCGUUUCUUCUUCUGAUUUCACCGACCGCCAAGUACAGGUCAGAAAGAUGGAUUGAAGAGUGAAGAAGAAGAAGAAGACUUAAGCAGACUGCUUAAGUGAUCCUAAUGGAAGUUAUAUGAAGACACUCUGAAUUUUGAGUUACUGUACGUGGGCUUUCAUCAUCUCCUCCAUGGCAACAUUUGAAGGAUCCUGCAAAUGAUCUUGCAGGAUUAUAUGCGGAGAGCUGGUUAUGUCUUCUUUAAUUUGCUGAUGUCACUCGAGACAGUUUCUGAGUCUUCCUCCUUGUCCACUUCAAAUUCUCCCCAUCCAUAAGUUAUGUUGCAGUCUUACACAACGAUGGUCAAAUCCUAUUCUGGAGAUUGUAUUGGCGUUUGUUUCAUGAGUCAAGAGAGACGACCACAAAUCUGGAGCGUUGGGGUUUUAACAAGAGGAGCCAAGAAUCAGUAUACCUGAUACUGGGCACUGGGCAGAGGUGGAUUGAAGAAUGAAAAAGAUAACUCAUACUGCUUAAGCAUACACAGACAUCUUCGGUGAUUCUAAUGGAUGUUAUAAGACACUCUGAAUUCUGAGUUACUGUACGUGGGCUCCCAUCAUCUGGUCUAUUGCAAGAUUUGAAGGUCUGAUUGACAACUAAUGUUUUGCUGCAGCAUUUUGGUUUCAACUAUAACAAUGUGGAGAUCUACACGAUGGAAGGGAAGUCAUUCUCCAGGCAUCGCCGCCGUGGAGUACGGUAAGAGUGAAAACCAACCCCGACUCUGACAGCGUUCUUCGUCCCUGCUAACAGUGGAUAGUUGGUGAGAACCCAACUGCGUCUGGCUAGGGAGAUUUUUUGGAAUUACUCCUGAACAGCUUUGUCAUAAUGUUGUCAAAGGAUCGCAACAACAAGCAGCAAUAUGGACUGGCCUCACGAAUUGUCAAAUUUGCUCAGAUACUACCAGAGAAAGACAUCACUGGACAUGAUUGAUGAUUUGCUAAAGUGCAACACCAUUUAUGGUUUCUGGUAUGGAGAUUUUUUGGAAUUACUCCUGAACAGCUUUGUCAUAAUAUUGUCAAGGGAUCGCAACAACAAGCAGCAAUAUGGACUGGCCUCAAGGAUUGUCAAAUUUGCUCAGAUACUACCCGAGAAAGGCAUCAGUGACAUGAUGAUGACUUGCUAAAGCGCAAGACCAUUUAUGGUUUCAGAGGUUUCUCUCAGAAUGCUUGCCAUGAUCUCACUUUAAUCAUUUUGAUGGUUGUUACAGUAGCGUCUUUAGCAAAUUGGGAUAAAAAUAAUCAGAGGUUUGUAAUGCAAUCAAUUUAGUUAGAUCUGGCUCGUUCCACUUUCACAAGUGUACCUUUGUCUUACAUAAUCUCCGACAGAGUAUCAAAGAAGGAUGGUAUGAUGGAGGAAGCAUUGCAUUUGCAGUGAUUCUUUUGAUUGUUGUCACUGCUGACAGUGACUACAAACAGCCUCUCCAGCCUCAAAUCCUGAAUGAUGAAAAGAGAAACAUACAUCUGGAGCACAGGUGACAAGAGGUGGAAGACGAGUGGAAAAUUUUAUCUAUGACAGUGUGGUGGGUGAUGUCAUACCUCUCAACAUUUGAAAUUAGUUUUACACUUAGGAGUGGAAGAAUGAUUCGUAUGUUUCCUCUCCUUCAGCUGGGGAUGAAUUUUCGAGACAACCAGGUCGCAGUCUUCUAUGCUUCAUGCUUUUCUGUUUAACUCAGAGAAGACAUGUGGUGGUGUUGCUGUAAAAAAACGGCUGAUGGUGAAAUUCAUGUUCACUGGAAAGGAGCUUCUGAAAUUGUCCUGGCAUCAUGCAUAAGCUACCUAUCGAUAAAGAUGGUGGCACCAGUGACUGAAGACGAGGCAUUGUGUUUCAACAAUGGAUUCGAAGAAAUGACUGUAAGAACCUUAUGAUGUGUUGCACUGGCCUUUAAAGAACGUUGGAGGCCGAAUGGUCGCAACAGGCGAAGAGCUCUCAAAGUGGGUACUCCCGGUCCCGGAGGAUGACCUUAUUGUACUAACUAUAGUAUGCAUAAAGGAUCCAUUUAGACCAGGAGUCGAAGAUUCAGUCCAGCUGUGUUAAAAUGCUGCUGUCAAGGUCCCGAGGUCCGUAUGGUGAUUGGUGACAAUAUUUGCCAUGGCUAUUGCACCAGAGGCUCAUCUAUUGGUGCAGACUAUCCGUUUUAAGAAUGAAUUGGAGAGUAACGUUACCAUUAAAUUAAGCUUGGAUAUGCAAAUGCCAAGAUUUACAAAUGCGAGCUUGGAUAUGCAAAUGCCAAGAUUUACAAAUGCGAGGAUCCUAUACCAAUGUGCUACAAGUGAGUCCAUCCUUGCAACAGGGUUUUCUAUCCUUUCUCCCUAUAACGAGGUCUCCCCGAUUAGGUGAAAUCAAAACUGAAAUUGAAAGCUCAUUAACAUUUGGGUUUUGGUUUGCUAUAUAUUAGCAAAAUGGAUGGCUAUAUAUUUAGCAAAAUGGAUGGUUAGUUUUUAAGAUUAAUAUAUCCGUUCAUUGCAACAUGAUUCCUAUCAAGUAAUAAAAGUAUUGCCUAGAAAUUAUU